UUAUUCACUUUAACUUUUUAAAAAAACUUAAUUUUAUUGUUCUAGGCCUAUUUGUGUAAGGAUUUGAAACUGUCUUUAAUAAUUAAUUCAGAGAGAGAGAGAGAGAGAGAGGAACAGUAGACACAAUUAUAGAACAAAUUUCUACAUGUUAAACAGUGUAUUUUGAUAGGUAUUAAUUUUGAAAAAAAUUAGUCAACUAGAAUUCUAAAUUGAUUCAAGAUUGUCAUUCAAAUUUCUAUUACUGUUACAGCUCCCUAUGGGAGAAUAAGAUGUCAUCAUCAUCACUCCUUUGUGGCCCCUGGGGAGCAAAGGGCUGCAACCACACAUCUCCAGCGGACUUGGUUUUGGGCUGCUCCUCUAAUCUGUGCCCAUGAGAGCCCAGCUGUUUUCGCCUCCUCCUCAACCGUUCUCUUCCAUGUUUUCCUUGGCCGGCCCACCCUCCUUUUUCCCUGGGGAUUCCAGUCUAAUGCAUGUUUUGAUGAAUAAGAUGCCUCCAGGUGUUGUGUAUAUCAAUCAGCCCACUGGAGAUAUAUCAAUCUUUAAUAAAUUAUAAGGUCCCCACUGCUUGAUACUUCACCAAAUACUGGCUACACCAGAAAAUGACUAAAUGUUCUUAACACUUAACAACUACCACAAGCAUUACUUCUGGGUCACUC